rnacentral:sRNA from 1 species
AGUGAGCACUGGGAUGUGGCAAGGCUGAUCCCUGCUUCAGAGCUGCCUGGGAGGACUGAGCUGCCAGAACCACUUCAGCCCCACCACAGCCCAACUCAAAUUGAAAUCUACUUUAUUAUUAGAAUUUUGGUGGAAGGAGAAAGCAAAUCUGAGAGCAAGCCAAGAUGUUAAAGUGGAUUAGCUGGAGACAGUCCAAGGCAAACAAGGCUCAACUCUCUGGUGGAUGUGAGCUGACAGUGGUCCUCCAGGACUUCAGUGCGGGCCACAGCAGUGAGCUGACCAUCCAGGUGGGGCAGACGGUAGAGCUGCUGGAGCGGCCCAGCGAGCGGCCUGGUUGGUGUCUGGUCCGUACCACCGAACGGAGCCCGCCCUUGGAGGGUCUGGUCCCCAGCAGCGCCCUGUGCAUCUCACAUUCCCGAAGCAGCGUGGAGAUGGACUGCUUCUUCCCCUUGGUGAAAGAUGCAUACUCUCAUUCCUCAAGUGAGAAUGGAGGCAAGUCCGAGUCCGUGGCCAACCUGCAGGCCCAGCCCUCCCUGAACUCCAUCCACAGUUCCCCAGGUCCCAAGCGCUCCACCAACACUCUUAAGAAGUGGCUGACGAGUCCUGUGCGUCGGCUCAACAGCGGGAAGGCAGAUGGAAACAUCAAAAAGCAGAAGAAAGUUCGCGAUGGUCGGAAGAGCUUUGACCUGGGAUCUCCCAAGCCUGGGGAUGAAACAACCCCUCAGGGAGACAGCGCUGAUGAGAAGAGCAAGAAAGGUUGGGGUGAAGAUGAGCCGGAUGAAGAGUCACACACACCCCUCCCACCACCUAUGAAGAUUUUUGACAACGACCCUACACAGGAUGAAAUGAGUCUAGAAGGAAGCUCAUACCGGGGGAGCUUGAAAGACCCUGCAGGCUGCCUGAAUGAGGGGAUGGCCCCACCCACACCUCCUAAAAACCCAGAAGAAGAACAGAAAGCCAAGGCCCUGAGAGGCAGGAUGUUUGUCCUGAAUGAGCUGGUACAGACAGAGAAAGACUACGUCAAGGAUCUGGGCAUUGUGGUGGAGGGCUUCAUGAAGAGAAUAGAAGAAAAGGGUGUCCCUGAGGAUAUGCGAGGAAAGGACAAAAUCGUGUUUGGAAAUAUUCAUCAGAUUUAUGACUGGCAUAAGGAUUUUUUCCUGGCGGAACUGGAAAAGUGUAUCCAGGAGCAAGACAGAUUGGCACAGCUCUUUAUUAAGCAUGAGCGGAAGCUGCACAUCUACGUGUGGUAUUGUCAGAAUAAGCCGCGCUCAGAGUACAUCGUUGCUGAGUAUGACGCCUACUUUGAGGAGGUAAAACAGGAGAUAAAUCAGAGGCUGACACUGAGUGACUUCCUCAUCAAGCCCAUUCAGAGAAUAACAAAAUACCAGUUGCUCCUCAAGGACUUCCUGAGAUACAGUGAGAAGGCUGGUUUGGAGUGUUCAGAUAUCGAGAAAGCAGUGGAGUUAAUGUGCCUUGUUCCCAAACGCUGCAAUGACAUGAUGAAUCUAGGACGUCUGCAGGGCUUUGAGGGCACCCUGACUGCUCAGGGGAAGCUGCUGCAGCAGGACACAUUCUAUGUGAUCGAGCUGGAUGCGGGCAUGCAGUCCCGGACCAAAGAGAGGCGCGUGUUCCUCUUCGAGCAGAUUGUCAUCUUCAGUGAACUGCUCAGGAAGGGAUCCCUCACCCCUGGCUACAUGUUCAAAAGGAGCAUCAAGAUGAAUUACUUGGUCCUGGAGGAGAAUGUGGACAAUGAUCCCUGCAAGUUUGCACUCAUGAACAGAGAGACUUCUGAGAGGGUCGUUCUGCAAGCCGCCAACGCUGACAUCCAGCAGGCCUGGGUGCAGGACAUCAAUCAAGUCUUAGAAACACAGCGAGACUUUUUGAAUGCACUGCAAUCGCCCAUUGAGUAUCAACGGAAAGAAAGGAGCACAGCUGUGACGAGGUCUCAACCUGCCAGGCUUCCCCAAGCCAGCCCCAGGCCCUACUCCUCUGUUCCUGCGGGCUCAGAGAAGCCCCCAAAGGGCUCCAGCUAUAACCCACCUCUGCCUCCCCUGAAGAUAUCUACCUCCAAUGGCAGUCCAGGGUUUGAAUACCACCAGCCUGGGGACAAGUUCGAAGCCAGCAAGAACGACCUGGGAGGCUGCAAUGGGACCUCGUCCAUGGCCGUGAUCAAAGAUUACUAUGCACUGAAGGAGAAUGAAAUCUGUGUGAGCCAAGGUGAGGUGGUCCAGGUCCUCGCCGUCAACCAGCAGAACAUGUGUCUGGUGUACCAGCCUGCCAGCGACCAUUCCCCCGCCGCCGAGGGCUGGGUCCCAGGCAGCAUCCUGGCGCCCCUCACCAAAGCCACAGCAGCAGAAAGUAGUGACGGGAGCAUCAAGUAAGUGCCUCGUUGGCUUCCCCGGGAGAGGAGUAUGAGGAUUAAAAAUAUUCAGAAACAAACAAAAGAACACAAAAAUGCAAACACAUGGUAGGGAAUUACUACUGCUUAUUCUCAACAGUACCACAGAACCAGUGUUUGAGUGCUGGCACCAUAUGCAACAUGGGGCAUCCGGGCUGGAGUGGUCCAGUUUUUUUGUUGGUGGUGGCGAUGAUUUUUCUUUCCUUUUGGUUUAUAAUUUUCUGUUCAUUUUUCCCCCUUUCUCCCCCCGAUUCAUUAAGAACCCUACUGAAACCCUAGGUGACAAAAGGUGUGCCUUCUGUUGCCACAUUUGACCCACCACAGGACUCACUGGACUGGACUUCUAUUUAUAUUGUAUUAAGUAACUGAUAUAUAUAUAUAUAUAUAUAUUCGAUUGACACCAAAAAAUUACCUUGGCACAAAUGCCAGACCUGUGAAGGUCAGAGGCCCGCUGCUUCUCCCAGGAGGGAGGGAACUUUUUGGUUGUCUGUGGCAAUUCCGCUGUACAGAUUGUAACUUUUUAAAAAUUUCCCUUCACCCCAUCACUUGAAUAUAUGUUCAUAGUAAUUUGUAAGAUACUUCUUUUCCUUAUUUUGGUUGCAAGACCCUUCCGAACACAUUCCUGUAUAAAGUAUUUUGCACUAUUUAAAGAAACCCAUAUGGAUGAAGUCAGGAUGUGCAAUAUGAUGGCGUCACAGUGCUCAUCGUUGUACCUGUAAUGUAACUAAUCAGUUUAAAUGUACUAUUUUAAAUAUGUAAAAUAAAUUUUCACCAUGAGCAUGUUUUAAUGAA